UGUUAAUCGUUUUUUCGUCAUUUCAGGUUGGACGGUAAACACGUCGUGUUUGGCAAGGUAUUAUCCGGCAUGGACGUGGUGUAUAAGAUCGAAGCGGAAGGCCGGCAAAACGGAACGCCCAAAAGCAGUGUUGUAAUCGCCGACAGCGGGGAACUUCCUCUGUGAUACCAUUUUACUUGACAUUCAUAAAGUCAGAAAAUCUGCAUGUUAUUAGUCAUCUUUAUUUAAUUCGCGUACAGUGUCGAACUAUAACUCCCGACGAAGCGAACCUUUCUCUAUCUAGUGUCUUUGUGUAUGAGUGGCACUCCAAUCUAUUUUCCUAUUUAGGUAUUCCACUUUUCAUGCUUUUGCAAAAAUUCAAAUCCUUGGUAUCACCGAAAUCAUCUGCAGAUCCGCGUUAUGCAACCGUGCAGAGUUUGCUGCGUACAAAAGGAUGCGUGGUAACAAUUUUUUAAAACAAGGAUGAUUUAUCCAAACAAGAUGAUGGAUUAGCUUGAAGAUUGCGUUUGGAGAUUGUCUUUGGGGAACAAUUAUAUAUUUUUGAGUUUAAGUUCUUUUGUAAAUAUUCUAUGCAUUUUCAAUCUUUACACUUGGUUAUUAUAAUUUUAUCACUUACUCUA